GCUGCGAAUGACUUACCUGAAGGUGUAAGUGCUCCACAGCUUGAAUCUUAUGACUCAUCAGGGCGACUCAUCAUCGAGCCUGCGGGAUACGGUUGGUUACCGGACAAAGCUUCAACUCUCCUUACAGAUGAGAUACAAAAACUAUUUAAAGACUCACCUACUUGGGGCUAGAUGUCACCAAAUCGCCAGAGACAGAUCUAUUAUGCCUUUAAGGAAAAAUGUGUCUGGCGCCCGGAACAUGAGGAGAAGCUAACUUAAAACUUCAAGAAGAAAUCUCAGCGCUUACUAUGUGACAUGUUAGGAAGGGUUCGUCAAUCUCAUAAGAAG